GAUUCUUCCGAGGGAGGCGGGCUUGUGAGCCCUCAAAGGCGCGUGAGUGUUUUGGACCGCGAUAACUAACAAAUCAGUGGUGGCAAAAGGGUGCGCGGAGAAGCUGAGGGGAGAAAAGACGCAGAAUGUUGGCUUAAAGGAGGCGGGCUGAAAUUGACUUAUGGGCGAAAUACUCCUACACAGUCUACGCGAAGAGGGAUUUGACGGUCUCAGGUGUAUCUUUUUUUCUACCGGGUUUCUGGGAUAGAAGGAAUGAGGUAUAAGAGGACAGAUUUCUAAGAACUGAAUUGACUCCAGGGUCUUGUUCUAUUGCCCAGGCCGGAGUGCUGUGGUGUAACCAAUGGCUCACUGCAGCAUCAUCCAUCCCACCUCGGCUCAAGCGAUCUGAACUCAAGCAAUCAUCCAUCCCACCUCGGCUUCCCGAAGUGCUGCGAUUCACAAGGUCCAUCCUACAGGUUGGAACGCUGAGGGACAGCUGAGUAAGAUUCAAUCAUGCAGAAAGGAUAACAUCCUACAGAAUGGAGAAACAAUAUGACAGGAAUCUGGGUCUCUGAAUCAUGAAGCAGAGCUAUCUAUCUGCCCUGGGCCACUUGCCCACCUGUGAGGUAAUAGAGAAAUAAACUUUAAUCUAAUUUAA